GAUGAAGAACGUAGCGAAAUGCGAUAAGUAGUGUGAAUUGCAGAAUUCAGUGAAUCAUCGAAUCUUUGAACGCACAUUGCGCCCCCUGGCAUUCCGGGGGGCAUGCCUGUCCGAGCGUCAUUUCUGCCCUCAAGCACGGCUUGUGUGUUGGGUGUGGUCCCCCCGGGGACCUGCCCGAAAGGCAGCGGCGACGUCCGUCUGGUCCUCGAGCGUAUGGGGCUCUGUCACUCGCUCGGGAAGGACCUGCGGGGGUUGGUCACCACCAUGUUUUACCACGGUUGACCUCGGAUCAGGUAGGAGUUACCCGCUGAACUUAAGCAUAUCAAUAAGCGGAGGA
rnacentral:misc_RNA from 1 species